UCAUGGUACAGAAAUCAUUACAAAGAAACAUUAUCCCAAUAGACUAAAGGCAAACACACACUUAUGAAACACCCGAUCCCUCCACAACUAAAACAUAUGAAGAUUCCACUACUGUGCACCAUUAUCAUCGUUCAACCACGACAGAAACAACAACAACAACAACGACGGACAAAACCACAACCAAGGAACCCUACCCAACUAAAAAUCCUUACCCAUAUAAACCGACAAGGAAACCUUAUCCUUAUAAACCCACCAAGAAACCCUACCCUUAUAAACCGACGCCAGAAACCACAACCAAGAAACCCUACCCAUAUAAACUAACAAAGAAACCAUACCCUUAUAAACCGACGCCAGAAACUACAACCAAGAAACCCUAUCCAACUAAGAAACCUUACCCUUAUAAACCAACAAAGAAACCUUAUCAUUAUAAACCUAAGCCAGAAACCACAACCAAGAAACCCUACCCUAACAAAACAACAAAGAAACCUUAUCCUUACGAAAAAACAAAGAAACCAUAUCCUUAUAAAACAACCACCCAUGGUCCAUGCGAUGAGCUGCCCGAGAAACACCUACAGCAACAAGAAUAUGAAGCUACACAUCUGAUUAAACUAAACAAGAAACUUCAGAGGAAAAUAACAAGCGGGUUAAUAUAGACUGACUCGUCAUCGUUAAUGAAUCUCUGUCCAGAAGAGUAUCACUCAGUGCAGCUUCCCAAGUAUGUUAAUUACAGCGGGUGUUUCUGCGUGGUACCACAACCUUUAUGUAGCUUUCACUACAUCAGUAGAACUUGUGGAGGUGAAGCGUGUAAAUAUGUAACGCCCACAUACGGUGAAGGAUUCUUCUGCGUUCCCGAUGGUAAGAAGGUGUACAAAAUCCCAGUGUACUGCAUUGUGGGUAAAAAGUGGACAAUCAAGUUGAUGCUCCAUAACGUCUGGAUGUGCUGCUCCUGUCAACGCAUCACGUGUUAGCUUUCAGCAACAAACUCGACUUUGGUUGUUUAAAUGGGACGGUAUAAUAAACAAAACAAUA